AACGAACGCUGGCGGCAUGCCUAAUACAUGCAAGUCGAACGAGAUCUUCGGAUCUAGUGGCGCACGGGUGCGUAACGCGUGGGAAUCUACCCUUGGGUUCGGAAUAACAGUUAGAAAUGACUGCUAAUACCGGAUGAUGACGUAAGUCCAAAGAUUUAUCGCCCAGGGAUGAGCCCGCGUAGGAUUAGCUAGUUGGUGAGGUAAAGGCUCACCAAGGCUACGAUCCUUAGCUGGUCUGAGAGGAUGAUCAGCCACACUGGGACUGAGACACGGCCCAGACUCCUACGGGAGGCAGCAGUAGGGAAUAUUGGACAAUGGGGGCAACCCUGAUCCAGCAAUGCCGCGUGAGCGAUGAAGGCCUUAGGGUUGUAAAGCUCUUUUACCCGAGAUGAUAAUGACAGUAUCGGGAGAAUAAGCCCCGGCUAACUCCGUGCCAGCAGCCGCGGUAAU
rnacentral:rRNA from 1 species